AUGGAUGUCAUCCCCCGACAAGCCCCUGCCCUUGGGGUCCUGAUGGUCCUCAGGACACUGUCCCCACAGGAAGACCGAGGUCAGGAGCUUUCAGGAUGGACCCUGAGCCUCUCCCCUCCUGCCCCUCCCGCACCCACAGGUCAGCCCAAGUCGGCACCCUCGGUGUCUCUGUUCCCGCCCUCCGCUGAGGAGCUCAGCAAGAACAAGGCCACCCUGGUGUGUCUCAUGAGUGACUUCUACCCGGGCAGCGUGACGGUGGCCUGGAAGGCAAAUGGCACCCCCGUCACCCAGGGCGUGGAGACCACCAAGCCCUCCAAGCAGAGCAACAACAAGUACGCGGCCAGCAGCUACCUGAGCGUGUCCAGCCAAGACUGGAAAUCCGCCAGCGCCUACAGCUGCCAGGUCACGCACGACGGGAAGACCGUGGAGAAGACAGUGGCCCCCUCAGAGUGUUCCUAG